AACUCUGUAGCUCAGUUUGUUAGAGCAUCGCACUAGAAAUGCAAGGUCACGGGUUCAAACCCCGUUGAAGUCC
rnacentral:tRNA from 1 species